UGCCAGCCGCCGCGGUAAUACGAAGGUGGCGAGCGUUGUUCGGAUUUACUGGGCGUAAAGAGCGCGUAGGCGGUUAGGCAAGCCUCUUGUGAAAGCUCCCGGCUUAACCGGGGAUGGUCGAGGGUAACUACCUAGCUAGAGGGCGGGAGAGGAGUGCGGAAUUCCCGGUGUAGCGGUGAAAUGCGUAGAUAUCGGGAAGAAGGCCGGUGGCGAAGGCGGCACUCUGGAACGCACCUGACGCUGAGGCGCGAAAGCGUGGGGAGCAAACAGGAUUAGAUA
rnacentral:rRNA from 1 species